rnacentral:rRNA from 1 species
UACGUAGGCAGCGAGCGUUGUUCGGAGUUACUGGGCGUAAAGGGUGUGUAGGCGGUUCUUUAAGUUUGGUGUGAAAUCUCCCGGCUCAACCGGGAGGGUGCGCCGAAUACUGAGGGACUUGGAGUGCGGGAGAGGAAAGUGGAAUUCCUGGUGUAGCGGUGAAAUGCGUAGAUAUCGGGAAGAACACCCGUGGCGAAGGCGGCUCUCUGGGACGGUACUGACGCUGAGACGCGAAAGCGUGGGGAGCAAAAGGG